rnacentral:ncRNA from 2 species
UUCAUAUAUACUGCUGCAGGUGCCCUACGGGGCUUAAUAGGGAAGACCGGUGUAAAACCGGCGCGGUCCCGCCACUGUAACGGGGAGCAAACCCAAGAUUAUACCACUGGAAUAUAUAUUCUGGGAAGGUUUGGGUGAGUAAGGAUCCGGAGCCAGGAGAACUGCCUGUUUGACAAUCACCGC